rfam:Eubacterium brachy ATCC 33089 genomic scaffold Scaffold5, whole genome shotgun sequence.
UGGGUAAGCCAGACAAUCGCAUUUUUAAUGAGGAAAGUCCGGGCUCCGCAGGGCGAGGAUGCCAGAUAACGUCUGGCGUAGGUAACUAUAGGGAAAGUGCAACAGAAACAUACCGCCGAAACGAGUAAUGUCGUGGUAAGGUUGAAAUGGCGAGGUAAGAGCUCACCGGCAUUGCGGAGACGCAAUGGCCGUGUAAACCCCAUCCGGAGCAAGACCAAGAGAAGCAUUAAAAGACGGCUGCCCGUCGUCGCUUAAGUGGUAGGUUGCUAGAGCAUGUUGGCGACGGCAUGCCCAGAUAGAUGAUUGUCUAAUACAGAACCCGGCUUAUAGACUUACCCAAAAA